GACGAACGCUGGCGGCGUGCUUAACACAUGCAAGUCGAACGGAAAGGCCCCUUUGGGGGUACUCGAGUGGCGAACGGGGGAAUAACACGGGAGUAACCUGCCCUUGACUUCGGGAUAACUUCAGGAAACUGGGGCUAAUACCGGAUAGGAAUCCUUGCUGCAUGGUGGGGGUUGGAAAGCUUCGGCGGGUUUGGAUGGACUCGCGGCUUAUCAGCUUGUUGGUGGGGUAGUGGCUUACCAAGGCUGUGACGGGAAGCCGGCCUGAGAGGGCGACCGGCCACACUAGGACUGAGAGACGGCCCAGACUCCUACGGGAGGCAGCAGUGGGGAAUAUUGCACGAUGGACGGACGCCUGAUGCAGCAGCGCCGCGGGCGGGAUGACGGCCUUCGUGUUGUAGACCGCUUUCAGCAGGAACGAGGCUUGUGGUGACGGUACCUGCAGAAGAAGCACCGGCUAACUACGUG
rnacentral:rRNA from 1 species